rnacentral:piRNA from 1 species
UACUAUUGAUACUGUGCGUGUCAGAUGACU